UACAGAGGUGGCAAGCGUUGUUCGGAAUUACUGGGCGUAAAGGGCGCGUAGGCGGCCUUCUAAGUCAGACGUGAAAUCCCCCGGCUUAACCUGGGAACUGCGUCUGAUACUGGAGGGCUUGAGUAUGGGAGAGGGGUGUAGAAUUCCAGGUGUAGCGGUGAAAUGCGUAGAUAUCUGGAGGAAUACCGGUGGCGAAGGCGGCAUCCUGGACCAUUACUGACGCUGAGGCGCGAAAGCUAGGGGAGCAAACGGG
rnacentral:rRNA from 1 species